rnacentral:rRNA from 1 species
GGGUGAGUAACGCGUAAGUAAUCUACCCUGGUAUCUGGGAUAACCAACCGAAAGGUUGGCUAAUACCGGAUACGCUGGUAACAGGAAAGGUGGCCUCUUCAUGAAAGCUACUGUACCAGGAGGAGCUUGCGUACCAUUAGCUAGUUGGUAGGGUAAUGGCCUACCAAGGCGACGAUGGUUAGCGGGUCUGAGAGGAUGAUCCGCCACACUGGAACUGGAACACGGACCAGACUCCUACGGGAGGCAGCAGUGAGGAAUAUUGCGCAAUGGGGGAAACCCUGACGCAGCGACGCCGCGUGGAUGAUGAAGGCCUUCGGGUCGUAAAAUCCUGUCAGAUGGAAAGAAGUGUAUAGAUGUUAAUAGCAUUUAUAUUUGACGGUACCAUCAAAGGAAGCACCGGCUAACUCCGUGCCAGCAGCCGCGGUAAUACGGAGGGUGCAAGCGUUGUUCGGAAUUACUGGGCGUAAAGCGCGCGUAGGCGGUUUUAUAAGUCAGAUGUGAAAGUCCACGGCUCAACCGUGGAAGUGCAUUUGAAACUGUAUUACUUGAGUACUGGAGGGGGUGGUGGAAUUCCCGGUGUAGAGGUGAAAUUCGUAGAUAUCGGGAGGAAUACCGGUGGCGAAGGCGACCACCUGGCCAGAUACUGACGCUGAGGUGCG